AGCAGCGAUCGGUUAGCUGCUCAGAUAGCUGAUGUUUGAAGUUGGUGAGGGAGAUAAAAGUCUCCAACUACAUGUACCAUGUAUAUAAUAAUAUAUACAGUACUAGUAUAUGUAUCAUGUACAUAAUAAUAUAUAUAUAUAUAGAUAGAUAUAUAUACAGUACUAGUAUAUGUACCAUGUAUAUAAUAAUAUACACAGUACUAGUAUAUGUACCAUGUAUAUAAUAAUAUACACAGUACUAGUAUAUGUACCAUGUAUAUAAUAAUAUAUAUAUACAGUACUAGUAUAUGUACCAUGUAUAUAAUAAUAUACACCGUGUCGUUGGAUGAAAUCAACAACAGAAUGUCACCGUGUCAUUGGAUGAAAUCAACAACAGAAUGUCACCGUGUCAUUGGAUGAAAUCAACAACAGAAUGUCACCGUGUCGUUGUAUUUAGGUUGCCAGUUGGGUGAAUAAAAGACUCCCUGACUUUUUCACAUCCAAUCAGUUUUCCAUGUUGAUUCAAUGUCAUCACGGUUUGGGUUGCCCGGGGGUGUGUGUGUGUGUGUGUACAGGGGUUACAUGAGGAGAGGUUUCAGUGCAACUAUUGUUUGUACAAACAAAAACACACUCAGUGGUCUGGAAGGACAAGAAGUCCUUGUGUUCUCUUCUCCUCUCUACUAUAAACGAAGGGUUUCUUUCCAUCUGAACUCUCUACUAUAAACAAAGAGUUUCUUUCCAUCUGAACUCUCUACUAUAAACGAAGAGUUUCCUUCCAUCUAAACCAUCUAAACUCUCUACUAUAAACGAAGGGGUCCCUUCCAUCUGAACUCUCUACUAUAAACGAAGAGUUUCUUUCCAUCUGAACUCUCUACUAUAAACGAAGAGUUUCUUUCCAUCUAAACUCUCUACUAUAAACGAAGGGGUCCCUUCCAUCUGAACUCUCUACUAUAAACGAAGAGUUUCUUUCCAUCUGAACUCUCUACUAUAAACGAAGGGGUCCCUUCCAUCUGAACUCUACUAUAAACGAAGAGUUUCCUUCCAUCUAAACUCUCUACUAUAAACGAAGAGUUUCCUUCCAUCUAAACUCUCUACUAUAAACGAAGGGGUCCCUUCCAUCUGAACUCUACUAUAAACGAAGAGUUUCUUUCCAUCUGAACUCUCUACUAUAAACGAAGAGUUUCCUUCCAUCUAAACUCUCCUCUCUUUUCCAUCCCUCCUCUUUUCUCUCUUUCCUUCUCUCCCUGGCUUUGUAGUGUGCCACAGGGGGUUGGUUUGAGAGGGAGGGUGGUAUUCUGUCUGUCUGUGUGUGUGUGUGUGUGUGUGUGUGUGUGUGUGUGAGUUAAUUUUUUCAGUUGCUCCAUUUGUCUCUGGGCAGGGAGUGUGUGAAUAGGGAACAAGACCCCUUCUAUCUCCUUUUCUCUCUAGAUCUUUGCUCUCGUUCUCUCUCCGACCCUGUUACUCUCUCUCCCUCCCCAUUUCCUGUCUCUCUUUCUCUCUCCUCCCCUUUACUCUCUAUCCCUUCCCAUUUCCUGUCUUUCCUAUUCUCCCCUCCUCUCUCUUCUCUUCCCUUUUCACUCUCUAACCCCUCUCCCUACCUCCUUCCCUCUAUCUCUCUGUCUCCCCCUCUCCCUCCAUCUCUCUCUCUCUCCCUCCCUCUCCUUCUCCCUCUCUCUCUCUCCCUCUCUCUCUCUCCUCCCUGCUCCCUCCCUCUAUCUCUCUCAGUUUCUCCCUCCGUCAGGUCCCAGAGGUGCUGUUUCCACAGACUGACUAAACCAGGCCAUUGUCCAUGUUUCUUUCUCUCUCUCUCUCCCUCCCUCUCUCGCUCCAUGUUUAUUUAUCUCUCCAUGUUUCUUU
ensembl:lncRNA